rnacentral:rRNA from 1 species
AGAGUUUGAUUCUGGCUCAGGAUGAACGCUAGCGACAGGCUUAACACAUGCAAGUCGAGGGGCAGCGGGGGAGGAAGCUUGCUUUCUCCCGCCGGCGACCGGCGCACGGGUGAGUAACACGUAUGUAACCUGCCCUCUGCCGGGGGAUAAGCGGAAGAAAUUCCGUCUAAUACCGCAUAACACACAUCCGGGGCAUCCCGGGGGUGUCAAAGGAGCAAUCCGGCAGAGGAUGGACAUGCGGCGCAUUAGCCAGUCGGCGGGGUAACGGCCCACCGAGGCGACGAUGCGUAGGGGUUCUGAGAGGAAGGUCCCCCACACUGGUACUGAGACACGGACCAGACUCCUACGGGAGGCAGCAGUGAGGAAUAUUGGUCAAUGGGCGGAAGCCUGAACCAGCCAAGUCGCGUGAGGGAAGACGGUCCUAUGGAUUGUAAACCUCUUUUGCAGGGGAGCAAGGCACGGUACGUGUACCGUGAAGGAGAGUACCCUGAGAAAAAGCAUCGGCUAACUCCGUGCCAGCAGCCGCGGUAAUA